UACGAAGGUCCCAAGCGUUGUCCGGAUUUAUUGGGUUUAAAGGGUGCGUAGGCGGGUUAUUAAGUCAGUGGUGAAAGCCUGCAGCUUAACUGCAGAAUUGCCAUUGAUACUGAUGAUCUUGAGUAUGAUUGAGGUGGGCGGAAUGUGUCAUGUAGCGGUGAAAUGCUUAGAUAUGACACAGAACACCGAUUGCGAAGGCAGCUCACUAAGUCAUAACUGACGCUGAUGCACGAAAGCGUGGGGAGCAAACAGG
rnacentral:rRNA from 1 species